UUGGGAUAGGCUUGCGUCUGAUUAGCUAGUUGGUGUGGUAACGGCACACCAAGGCUACGAUCAGUAACUGGUCUGAGAGGAUGAUCAGUCACACUGGAACUGAGACACGGUCCAGACUCCUACCGGGAGGCAGCAGUGAGGAAUAUUGGGCAAUGCUCGAAAGAGUGACCCAGCAACGCCGCGUGGAGGAUGAAGGUAUUCUAUAUCGUAAACUCCUGUGAGAGCAGACGAAAGACAGAUUAUUAAUCUGGAUGGCUGUAUGCUCAGAGGAAGCCCCGGCUAACUACGUG
rnacentral:rRNA from 1 species